AGAGGGUGCGAGCGUUAAUCGGAAUCACUGGGCGUAAAGGGCUUGUAGGUGGAUUUGUAAGUUAGAUGUGAAAGGCCUGGGCUUAACCUAGGGACUGCAUUUAAAACUGUGGAUCUAGAGUACAGUAGAGGGAAGUGGAAUUUCCGGUGUAGCGGUGAAAUGCGUAGAUAUCGGAAGGAACACCAGUGGCGAAGGCGGCUUCCUGGACUGAUACUGACACUGAAGAGCGAAAGCGUGGGUAGCGAACAGGGAUUAGAUACCCUGGUAGUCCACGCCGUAAACGAUGAGAACUAGCCCGACUGGAGCUUAGCUCUGGGUGGCGCAGCUAACGCGUUAAGUUCUCGCCUGGGGAUACGGCCGCAAGGUUA
rnacentral:rRNA from 1 species